CGCGCUCGCUGUGAAGGGCCGGGGCCUGCGGGGCGGCUGUGCCGGGCGGGGGCGAUGGUUUUCAACAUGGAAGCCCAGCCUCAAUGGAAUCCUUUCUGGACUCAGGUCCUUAGGUUUUGGGGCACGGACCCUCCAGAGAUACCAGGGCCUGCACUUCACACUCAUUCCCUCCCAGGAAGGCACUGAAACUGGAGGGGCUGCUCAGAGUCUUUAUUGCUGCUCUGGCAUGUUGCUUGCUCCAAACCAUGGGGACAUUGGCAACUCCAGAGCCCGGCAGAGAGAAGGGGACAGGAAUGGGGACUGGAAUGAGCAGACGCCUUCUCCCCAAAAUCAAUAAAUAAAGCCCUAUCACUACAGCA